GAGUUUGAUUCUGGCUCAGAGUGAACGCUGGCGGCGUGCCUAAUACAUGCAAGUCGAACGGAGAUUAAAGUAAGCUUGCUUAUUUUAAUCUUAGUGGCGCACGGGUGAGUAAUGUAUAGCCUAAUCUGCCCUACACUAGAGGACAACAGUUGGAAACGACUGCUAAUACUCUAUACUCCUUCUUUACAUAAGUUAAGUCGGGAAAGUUCUUCGGUGUAGGAUGAGGCUAUAUCGUAUCAGCUAGUUGGUGAGGUAAUGGCUCACCAAGGCUAUGACGCGUAACUGGUCUGAGAGGAUGAUCAGUCACACUGGAACUGAGACACGGUCCAGACUCCUACGGGAGGCAGCAGUAGGGAAUAUUGCUCAAUGGAGGAAACCCUGAAGCAGCAACGCCGCGUGGAGGAUGACACUUUUCGGAGCGUAAACUCCUUUUCUUGGGAAAGAAUUAUGACG
rnacentral:rRNA from 1 species